rnacentral:pre_miRNA from 12 species
GCUUGAAGGUGACAUGCAGGGGGCCGCAGGCUGCAACACGGGAUAUGGGAGCUGCUCAUUUUACCCUCGUGUCUUGUGUUGCAGCCAGUGGAACUGCUACUCAUU